AACGAACGCUGGCGGCAGGCCUAACACAUGCAAGUCGAACGAGUAAGAGCCGUAGCAAUACGGAGUUCUGCUAGUGGCGCACGGGUGAGUAACGCGUGGGAACGUGCCUUGGAGUUCGGGAUAACAGUUGGAAACGACUGCUAAUACCGAAUAUUCCCUCAGGGGGAAAGAUUUAUCGCUCCAAGAUCGGCCCGCGUAAGAUUAGGUAGUUGGUGGGGUAAUGGCUACCAAGCCUACGAUCUUUAGCUGGUCUGAGAGGACGACCAGCCACACUGGAACUGAGACACGGCCCAGACUCCUACGGGAGGCAGCAGUGGGGAAUAUUGGACAAUGGGCGAAAGCCUGAUCCAGCAAUGCCGCGUGUGUGAUG
rnacentral:rRNA from 1 species